GUGAGGUCAAAGAAGGUCUCUUUGAAGUCAGAGGGGGGGUCUCUCCAAGGUCAAGAGAGGUGUCUGAGGACAGGGAGGUCUCUGUGAGGUCAGAGAAGUCUCUGUUAAGGACAGAAGGUCUCUGUGAGCUCAGGAGAGGUCUUUGAGGACAGGGUGGUCUCUGUGAGGUCAGGAUAAGUCUCUCUGAGUUCAGAGGGCAUCUCUUAGGUGAGGGGAGGUCUCUGUGAGGUCAGAAGGUACCUCUCCCUACCACCGCCAAGACAAUCAACCUCCCUUUGAGUCAGGGCAUGGACAGCAAGGACCCGGAUGAAGCGAGCACUACCUCCCAUGUCAGAUGGUGGGUAUGGAGAACACAUUAGCAGCAAAGAUCAAGUGUCCAGCUGUUGUCAACUUGGAGAAUUCUGUGGUUGAAAUGGAGACCCUUCAAGCUCUCUAUGAGACGAUAAACCAGCGAUCUCCACUGAGCUCCUUGGAAGAUGGAAGUUAAAAUGAUUAACACUGCUGCAUUGGAAAUUAAUGACAUGAGAUUGUUCUUACACGUUUUUCACCGUAUUUUACAUAUGAGAUUUCAGUUUGAUUUGUGAUAUCCAAAAAGUGGACUUACUGGAGAACACUUAACAUUUUUGUGUCCACUAUUGGCUUGUAGAGCUUAUGGCUCUUUACUGUUGCAGGGAGGGUCUCUGAGCACUUCUCUCUACCAUUUGUUUUUAGUUUUGCAUGGUCUGGCCAUAUAUACUUUCGUUGGGCAGCUAAAGUAUGCAUAAAAUUUUGUGAGAAUUAUUUUAUAAUUAAAUUAUUAAGAACUUAAUUAAAUAUAACUAAAAUUAUUAUAUAAGAAUUCAAUGCUAACAUUAGGUGAAAUAAGAGUUUAACACAGAAAAUAAGGUACUUUAAGUCCCCUCUCCUAAAAAGGGGGGGUAAAUCACAAAGGCUUUGGUGUUUUCAGAGAAGAUAUGGCAUCCAUUUGUAGCUAGGAGCAUAAACAUUGCUUGAAUGUGUGAAAAUUAGUAAAAGGAAACCUCAUUUAAAUGGAAGUGGGAGGCAAGAAAGGGGGAGCCCUCCCACACUACCACUCACUGUCAGUUACAGACCCCAACAGGAAGAAUCCUCAGCUAUGGAUCGCAACAGGAAGAAACACACAUUGCAAGUAGACACUACUUUAUACUCCAGCAGGAGGAAGGAAGAUUUCCUUCCUUGCCCAGCAACUCAGCCAAGAAGAAAUCGUCACCACGCUGUACUCCUGCUUUCCUGCAGUGGACUUUCAUUCAAAAAAACCCCCUCCUUUUUUUCUAUAAAGUAACGUU
rnacentral:lncRNA from 1 species